rnacentral:rRNA from 1 species
UCGAGGGGCAUCGGGAGGGAAGCUUGCUUUCCUUGCCGGCGACCGGCGCACGGGUGAGUAACACGUAUGCAACCUGCCCUCUUCAGGGGGACAACCUUCCGAAAGGGAGGCUAAUCCCGCGUAUAUCGGUUUCGGGCAUCCGAGAUCGAGGAAAGAUUCAUCGGAAGAGGAUGGGCAUGCGGCGCAUUAGCUAGACGGCGGGGUAACGGCCCACCGUGGCGACGAUGCGUAGGGGUUCUGAGAGGAAGGUCCCCCACACUGGUACUGAGACACGGACCAGACUCCUACGGGAGGCAGCAGUGAGGAAUAUUGGUCAAUGGGAGAGAUCCUGAACCAGCCAAGCCGCGUGAGGGAAGACGGCCCUAUGGGUUGUAAACCUCUUUUGUCGGAGAACAAAACCCGGGACGAGUCCCGGACUGCGUGUAUCCGAAGAAAAAGCAUCGGCUAACUCCGUGCCAGCAGCCGCGGUAAUACGGAGGAUGCGAGCGUUAUCCGGAUUUAUUGGGUUUAAAGGGUGCGUAGGCGGUCCGUUAAGUCAGCGGUAAAAUUGCGGGGCUCAACCCCGUCGAGCCGUUGAAACUGGCAGACUUGAGUUGGCGAGAAGUACGCGGAAUGCGCGGUGUAGCGGUGAAAUGCAUAGAUAUCGCGCAGAACUCCGAUUGCGAAGGCAGCGUACCGGCGCCAGACUGACGCUGAGGCACGAAAGCGUGGGGAUCGAACAGGAUUAGAUACCCUGGUAGUCCGCGCGGUAAACGAUGGAUGC